AUUGAACGCUGGCGGCAGGCUUAACACAUGCAAGUCGAGCGGAGAUGAGGUGCUUGCACCUUAUCUUAGCGGCGGACGGGUGAGUAAUGCUUAGGAAUCUGCCUAUUAGUGGGGGACAACAUUCCGAAAGGAAUGCUAAUACCGCAUACGUCCUACGGGAGAAAGCAGGGGAUCUUCGGACCUUGCGCUAAUAGAUGAGCCUAAGUCGGAUUAGCUAGUUGGUGGGGUAAAGGCCUACCAAGGCGACGAUCUGUAGCGGGUCUGAGAGGAUGAUCCGCCACACUGGGACUGAGACACGGCCCAGACUCCUACGGGAGGCAGCAGUGGGGAAUAUUGGACAAUGGGGGGAACCCUGAUCCAGCCAUGCCGCGUGUGUGAAGAAGGCCUUAUGGUUGUAAAGCACUUUAAGCGAGGAGGAGGCUACUGAGACUAAUACUCUUGGAUAGUGGACGUUACUCGCGGAAUAAGCAUCGGCUAACUCUGUGCCAGCAGCUGCCGUAA
rnacentral:rRNA from 1 species